CUCUCUCUCUCUCUAUCCGUCUCUUCCUCUCUUCAUCCUCUCUAGAACCUUUUUGUUCUUCUUCUCUGAUGGCCUUCACCAUCUCUCCGGCCACCUCCAGCCUCUCCCCUUUCGACCACUAGCCACCUUGAAGCCUUAUCUCAUCGAUUACCUUCGCCCUUGAGACCCCACGAGUCUUCGCCAUGCUAGAUGGUCACUGAAGCUUUGCCAGGGGUUGUUUCCGGUCUUUCUCCGAUGGGUUUUGGCUUGAUGGUUCUAUAAACACCAUUGUUCCUAAGUUUAACAGCCAAGUUCUCUUACUUCUCUCUCUGGUUUUCUUAUGAAACCCUAAUGUCGACCCAAACCUCUUAAAUCUAUGUAUUUUAAUGAUUUUUAACUCAUACCUUUAUGUUUUGAACUAUUCUCUACUCGAUCUUUACGAUUUUUCAAGUUUACACAUUUUUAUUCCCUUUUUGAAACUAGCGUUUCUUAACCCCUUUUCGAAAAUACUUUAUUUUCUGAUCUAUGAUUCUCAGUACCAUUUCUAAACUAUUUUGCUUAAGUCUCAUUAUUCUGAUGAAACCCUAGCUUUAGGGUUUAUAUUUCUAUUAUUUUGUCGUGUUUGCUUGUCUGUGUGUUCUUCUAGAUUCUUCUCUGAGUUAUGUGCUCUUUGCUUUAAUUUUGUUGCUAUCAGUUCCUUACUGUUCUACGUUCUCUGUUUAGGGUUUCUCUGAUAUUGUUCAAUAUGGG
rnacentral:lncRNA from 1 species